UGAAGCUUUGGGGUUGAAGCUUGAUAGGUGAAGCUUUGGUGUUGAAGCUUUAUAGGUGAAGCUUUGGGGUUGAAGCUUUAUAGGUGAAGCUUUUGUUGGCACCAUAAAUUAAUUUUGCUUCACACUAUCUUGAUGAAGAUAGUGCGAAACUUUUGAGAUUGAUAUUUGUCCUCCAUUGAUGAAGCUUUUGUUGGCACCAUAAAUUGAUCUUGCUUCACACUAUCUUGAUGAAGAUAGUGCGAAGCUUUUGAGAUUGAUAUUUGUCUUCCAUUGAUGAAGCUUUUGUUGGCACCAUAAAUUGAUUUUGCUUCACACUAUCUUGAUGAAGAUAGUGCGAAGCUUUUGAGAUUGAUAUUUGUCCUCCAUUGAUGAAGCUUUGUUGAAUUUCCCAAUUUCCAAUUUCCUCUUUUUUUUUUUUUUGGGAAAACUAGAAAUUUGAAAAUGUGGGAGAGACAACGUAUACAAAUUUUGCUUCCACACUAUUGAGCGAGAGAUUGUGAUGCAAGCCACAUCUUGUAGUAGUCGAAGGUUUGGAUAAACCAUAUAAAUUGACUUUGCUUCGAACAGUCUUGAUCAAGAGCGUGUGAAGCUUUCUAUGAGUUGUAGUGUUUGCAUUGUUACAGAGGAGAAAUGUCUGAAGCAGAUGCAAGAGGGCUGAAGAGCUUGAUCUUCGUAUACCAUGCACUGAAGCCAUUGUUGGCUUGCAAUAAGACUUUGUUGGUGACUAUAGCUCUUGUUAGGCAUAAGUGCUCCCCUAGUUGAGUUGUAAAGCUUGAGGGUUUUUGAUUAUUUUUGAAUGCUAGGAGUUCACAUGUACAAGUUGUACCACUCGUCUUCUGGUUAAUGGAAUGAAUGGUGGGUUGCUUUCAUCACUUGGUUGGUGGUACGAAUGUGAAUUCUUUAAUCACCUUUCAUCACAUUUCAUCACCUGGUUGGUGACAUGAAGGAGAGUACACGUUGUACAUGUCAUCACCUGGUUGGUGGCAUGAAGGAGAGUACGCGUUGUACAUUUCAUCACCUGGUUGGUGGCAUGAAGA
rnacentral:lncRNA from 1 species